AUUGAACGCUGGCGGCAGGCUUAACACAUGCAAGUCGAGCGAGCGGCGGACGGGUGAGUAAUGUCUGGGAAACUGCCCGAUGGAGGGGGAUAACUACUGGAAACGGUAGCUAAUACCGCAUACCAUCAGAUGUGCCCAGAUGGGAUUAGCUAGUAGGUGGGGUAAUGGCUCACCUAGGCGACGAUCCCUAGCUGGUCUGAGAGGAUGACCAGCAACACGGGAACGGAGACACGGUCCAGACUCCGAAGGGAGGCAGCAGUGGGGAACAUUGGAAAAUGGGCGCAAGGCGGAUGCAGCCAUGGCGCGUGUGUGAAGAAGGCCUCCGGGUUGUAAAGCACUUUAAGCGAGGAGGCGUUACUCGCAGAAGAAGCACCGGCUAACUCCGGGCCAGCAGCCGCGGUAAUAC
rnacentral:rRNA from 1 species